rnacentral:rRNA from 1 species
AUUGAACGCUGGCGGCAGGCCUAACACAUGCAAGUCGAGCGGAUGAAGGGAGCUUGCUCCUGGAUUCAGCGGCGGACGGGUGAGUAAUGCCUAGGAAUCUGCCUGGUAGUGGGGGAUAACGUCCGGAAACGGGCGCUAAUACCGCAUACGUCCUGAGGGAGAAAGUGGGGGAUCUUCGGACCUCACGCUAUCAGAUGAGCCUAGGUCGGAUUAGCUAGUUGGUGGGGUAAAGGCCUACCAAGGCGACGAUCCGUAACUGGUCUGAGAGGAUGAUCAGUCACACUGGAACUGAGACACGGUCCAGACUCCUACGGGAGGCAGCAGUGGGGAAUAUUGGACAAUGGGCGAAAGCCUGAUCCAGCCAUGCCGCGUGUGUGAAGAAGGUCUUCGGAUUGUAAAGCACUUUUAGUUGGGAGGAAGAGAAGUAAGUUAAUACCUUGCUGUUUUGACGUUACCAACAGAAUAAGCACCGGCUAACUUCGUG